UAAUACCAUAAUUACACGCAUUUAACACAAAAUAUCACAAUUCUUCACAAAUACAUCACAGUUCACCAAAAUACCACUAGAGUUCACAAUUCUUCACAAAUACAUCACAUAGUCCAUUAUAACAUAACACAAACUCACAAUUCACUAUAAGAGUCAAAUCAUCACAUAUCAGGGUCGUUUGAGUUGUGACCACUACCUCCAGAAGCGAACAACUCGUUAACGAAGUUGUUUAACUGGUUUGGAUUCUAAAGAAAAAAGAAGACAUUAAUAACUAUAGUGUUUACAUAACCACUAUUUGAACAAAUUGUUUGUCAAACUAACCUCUCCUGCAGUAGCUCCCUCCCCUACAUAAGCUCCUCCUGGUGCUGGUAUCACCGGUGGUGGCGUGUUG
rnacentral:lncRNA from 1 species